rfam:Ciona savignyi cont_34863, whole genome shotgun sequence.
GCUUAUCACCAUUCCAGAUUGAAUAUACCCGAUCUCGUCUGAUCUCGGAAGUUAAGCAAUCUCGGGCUUGGUUAGUACUUGGAUGGGUGACCGCUUGGGAAUACCAAGUGUGAUGAGCA